GGUGCAUGGUUGUCGUCAGCUCGUGUCGUGAGAUGUUGGGUUAAGUCCCGCAACGAGCGCAACCCUUGUCUUUAGUUGCCAUCAUUAAGUUGGGCACUCUAGAGAGACUGCCAGGGAUAACCUGGAGGAAGGUGGGGAUGACGUCAAAUCAUCAUGCCCCUUAUGCUUAGGGCUACACACGUGCUACAAUGGGUAGUACAGAGGGUUG
rnacentral:rRNA from 1 species